rnacentral:Y_RNA from 2 species
GGCUGGUCCAGUGGUAGCAGGUUAUCAGAACUUACCAACAUUAGUAUCAUUAAAGUUGGUAUACAACCCCCUUCACUGCUAAAUUUGACUGGCUUAA